ACAUACAUACACUAGACACAUUUAUUGCUUCUAUGUAUCUUCCAUUCUUUGUCUAAUACUCUGAUUUUAUGCUUACUUAUUCCUUUUUUCUUGUUUCCUUGCUUAAUUGGCUCAUGCUUGCUUCCUUCCUUCUUAUGCUUAGUCAUUGUUUCAUUGGUUUUUUUUUUCACUUCCUUAUGUGCUCGCUGCCUUCCUUGAUUAUUUGUUUAGUAUUUUCUUGCUUCCUUGUUUGCUUGCUCCCUUGUUAACAUGCUUAACUUGCUUCCUCGCUUGACACAUUUAUUGCUUCCAUGUUUCUUCCAUUCUUUGUCUAAUACUCUGAUUUUAUGUUUACUUAUUCCCUUUUUCUUGUUUCCUUGCUUAAUUGGCUCUUGCUUGCUUCCUUCCUUGUUAUGCUUAGUCAUUGUUUCAUUGGGAUUUUUUUUCACUUCCUUGUGUGCUCGCUGCCUUCCUUGAUUAUUUGUUUAGUAUUUUCUUGCUUCCUUGUUUGUUUGCUCCCUUGUUAACAUGCUUAACUUGCUUCCUCGCUUGACACAUUUAUUGCUUCCAUGUUUCUUCCAUUCUUUGUCUAAUACUCUGAUUUUAUGCUUACUUAUUCCCUUUUUCUUGUUUCCUUGCUUAAUUGGCUCUUGCUUGCUUCCUUCCUUCUUAUGCUUAGUCAUUGUUUCAUUGGGUUUUUUUUUUCACUUCCUUGUGUGCUCGCUGCCUUCCUUGAUUAUUUGUUUAGUAUUUUCUUGCUUCCUUGUUUGUUUGCUCCCUUGUUAACAUGCUUGUGUGUUUAAUUUCUUACAUAAUGUGUUUCUUCCUUAGCUACUCCUAUCUUUUUCCUUAUUUUUAAUCCUUAACUUGCUUGCUUAUUUGCUCUCAGAAACUGUCUCAGUUUAUCUUCUAAUCAAAUAUGUAUGUUGCGUUAUAUAGUGCUAUGUUGCUGCUCAAAUCAUUACAGAUGGAGACUCUUGAGCGUCUAUCAAGGAAAAGUCUUCAUCGUCAUUAAUGUCGGUACCACAUAGACCGUUUGUUGAUACCAGCCUCAGUGAAUAUUACCAAAAAGAAAGAAUGAAGUUCUAUGAUCAUUCUUCUCUCUUUAUUUUCCUUUUUCAUUAGCUAGCUCUAGAGAUUUUACAUGUAUAUGUACCAAGAGUUAUACAAGGUGAUCUUGUUUGUAUCCAAAAUAUUUAUUGGUUCGUUUUAAUUGUUCAGGGUUUUGGUACUAGGCGUUGACUUGCAACCAGAUCUAAAGUCUAGACCAUAACCUAGCCAUGAAUUCCCCCUUAUUAAAGCUCUUCACUCCGUUGCAAAGCAAGAAACAGACUUGUGGUAAUUCGAUAAAACAUAUUGGGGUCUUCGUUUUGAUGGUUUUGUACUUACAUAGUCUUUUGCAAUGGACUUUAGAGACAUAACUAUCUUACGUUUCAUAAGUUGAUUUCUUCUUCCAAGUGAAAAUAGUCCUCCUCGAUGUUGAUGGUUCUUUUUCCAUACAAGAUGAUUUAGACAUUGUUUCGUCGUUUCUGGAGAGUGAAAUAUUAAAUCGGGACUUACUUCAAUAUGAUGAAAAAAUGGUGGAGAGUGAGAAAUUACACCGGGACUGACUUCAAUAUGAUGGUUGGUUUCUUAGCUAGAAAAGUUCUCAGAUGAUUAGUGUUGCUGUUAAGGGUGUAGCUUGUUUGACAUGCAUAUCAAGGUUUGUUAUAAGUGUUGCUGGCUAAAUCACUUGUUGUAAGAGGAACUUAAAGAGUAUGGUCAAAGGUUUAUUGUAACGGCCAGAAGGAACGGAAAACAAGUUCAAAUCCAUGAUUAAGGAACGAAAAGAGAAAAAAAUAUGAAGAUGGCUAUGGCAAAACUAGAUUUCAGCAUUCAAGAGUUUAGCCCGUGGAAUGAUACAAAAAUAUCUUAUGAUAUUUUGGAUGAAUAUGAGGACAACGUUAGAUGAUAGAUGGAUGUGGAGUUCCAUGGCCAUAGCGAGGCGUUCUGUGAAUUAAAAUCUAAGAGUUUUAUGUGGGAAGACAUCUAAUCAUCCGUGAAUGAAAGAAACCUAUAAGGAAGUCAAGAACCAUAUCAGUAAGCUGGCCAUGAACUGCCUAAAUCUCUGCAUACCACUUUAGCAGAUAUUAGCCAAUGGACUAAAUGGACGUAUUUUUAAAACAAGUGAAAACUCUCUAGUGAGUGACCAGGUAUGGACCCACUACUUUAUCAAUAUUGUUCCUUGGUUUCCUUCGAUAGUGUUUUCUCGAUUGAUAUCUUGAAUCUCCCCUUCAUGUGUGCAUACAUUCAUUCAUACAUUCAUACAUGCAUACAUGCAUACAUGC